ACAGUAACUAUGAACACUGGUUGAAGAAAACAGGUUACUAUAUGGAUGGGUAGGUUUUAGGUCCGAAAUUCAUAUGCUUCUUUUGUUCGUGUUUCAAUUUCAAUCUCCAAAAAUUGCUGAUAAAAGUGUUGAGUAUGGCGACGCAAGUGAGCUGCGAUGUUGACUACGUAACCACCUUACAAGCCAGGGUCAAGGAAUUAGAAGCGGAGAAUGCAAAUCUUUUAUCUCGACUUGCUGAUUGCCAUUGCUCUAAGAUAGAGAAAAAGUUAUAUGGUCAUGAUGGGAAAGCCACGGAACCGAAAAAAGCCAACAAGAAAUCAAAAGAGAAGAUAGAGAAAAAGCCAGGCUAUAACACAAGGUUUAUGAGUAAUCAUAGCAAGAGAUAUGUAGCUUUAAAAGUCAUGUACUUUGGAAAAAGGUUCUAUGGUUUUGCUUCAGAGGCACAAAUGCAACCAACUGUAGAGUCUGAAAUUUUUCAAGCUCUUGAAGAAGCAAGGCUAUUGGUUGGUGAUAAGAAGGAGUCACAGUAUUCGAGAUGUGGUAGAACAGACAAAGGGGUUUCCUCAGUUGGACAAGUAAUAGCUCUUUUUCUAAGAUCAAGGCUCAAAAUAUCUGGAGUAAAUAAUGGGAGUUCUGGAGAUAUUGUUUUAGAAGAACAACACGAAGGAGAAAUUGAUUAUGUGAGGGUACUAAAUCGAGUCCUUCCCAAUGACAUUCGAAUUCUCGGCUGGUGCCCUGUUCCUGUGGAUUUCCAUGCAAGGUUUAGCUGUUUAAGCAGGGAGUAUAAGUAUUUUUUUUGGAAAGAAAAUUUGAAUAUCCUGGCUAUGGAGAGUGCUGGAACAAAGUUUCUAGGAGAACAUGACUUUAGAAACUUCUGUAAAAUGGAUGCAGCUAAUGUGCACAACUACAUGCGGCGCAUCACAAUGUUUAAGAUUUCUCCAACAGAUGUGAGUUAUGAUGGUAAUCAACUUUGGGCAAUUAAAAUCAAAGGUAGUGCUUUUUUAUGGCAUCAGGUUCGCUGCAUGGUUGCUGUUCUCUUCUUGGUUGGCAAAGGUCUUGAAUCUCCAGAUGUUGAUUACCGAUUUGCUACUGGACACUAACAGAAUCCCCAGAAAACCCCAAUACACUAUGGCUUCAGAGGUUCCUUUGGUUCUUCAGUCCUGUGAAUUUAAGGAUGUCAAGUUUAUGUGUUCAUCAGAGGCGGGAGAAGCGCUGCACUCACACUUGGUUAACGAAUGCAAAAUUUACCAGCUUCAAGCUGCAAUCUUUCACGAAGCUAUUCUUAAUAGUGUGCCUCCAUUACAUGAUCAAAUUCUGCCUGCAGUUCGAGAAUCCAAGAAGAAAGCCUCUCAUAUCCCUCUCAUGUCACGACCAACUGAGCCAUCUUAUGAAGAACGACGCGCCAAACUCAACUCGUGUACAUGAUGAUUUCACUGGUCAUCUUCAUUAUAUAGCUCUUCUAUAGAGGUUGUAUUAUUAAAUGGUAACUAUAUAUUUCAAUUUUUGGGGUCCGGUUUUUGAUGCGGUGCACUUGUUUCUGAGGUUUUCAAGCCUCCACCAGAUGACAAUUGUGAGCAGUUCUCAUGUCAUAAUCAUCUUGGAUCGAAUUAAUGCAUAUAGCAGGUAACUUGCUGUGCAGACAAAGAUGAUAGCGCUAGUCAUCUACUGUGUGGUUGUAACAAUUUGCAGCUAACCUGUGUAUGCUAGAUAAAUUAUUAUUUUUGCUAUAUAACUUAUGUCUAAAAAGAAUUCUUCCUGUCAACGUAUCAAUUAUUAUAAUGAGUAAAUAUUAAAUGAAUUUGGUCCCUUAAAGA